rnacentral:rRNA from 1 species
GAUGAACGCUGGCGGCGUGCCUAACACAUGCAAGUCGAACGCACAGCGAAAGGUGCUUGCACCUUUCAGGUGAGUGGCGAAGGGGCGAGUAACAGGUCGACCACCUGCCUCAAGGCUGGGGUUGACAUCUGGAAACAGAUGCUAAUACCGAAUAAAACUUAGUGUCGCAUGAUACAAAGUUAUAACGCGCUUCGGUGUCACCUAGAGAUGUAUCCUCGUUGGAUUAGUUAGUUGGUGGGGUAAAGGCCUACCAAGACGAUGAUGCAUAGCCGAGUUGAGAGAAUGAUCGGCCACAUUGGAACUGAGACACGGCCCAAACUCCUACGGGAGGCAGCAGUAGGGAAUCUUCGACAAUGGGCGAAAGCCUGAUGGAGCAACGCCGCGUGUGUGAUGAAGGCUUUCGGGUCGUAAAGCACUGUUGUAUGGGAAGAACAGCUAGAAGAGGAAAUGAUGCUAGUUUGACGGUACCAUAAGAAGAAGCAACGGCUAAAUACGUG